rnacentral:rRNA from 1 species
GUGAACGCUGGCGGUAGGCCUAACCCAUGCAAGUCGAACGGCAGCACCGUAAGAGCUUGCUCUUACGGGUGGCGAGUGGCGGACGGGUGAGGAAUACAUCGGAAUCUACUUUUUCGUGGGGGAUAACGUAGGGAAACUUACGCUAAUACCGCAUACGACCUACGGGUGAAAGCAGGGGAUCUUCGGACCUUGCGCGAUUGAAUGAGCCGAUGUCGGAUUAGCUAGUUGGCGGGGUAAAGGCCCACCAAGGCGACGAUCCGUAGCUGGUCUGAGAGGAUGAUCAGCCACACUGGGACUGAGACACGGUCCAGACUCCUACGGGAGGCAGCAGUGGGGAAUAUUGGACAAUGGGCGCAAGCCUGAUCCAGCCAUACCGCGUGGGUGAAGAAGGCCUUCGGGUUGUAAAGCCCUUUUGUUGGGAAAGAAAAGCAGCAGGUUAAUACCCCGCUGUUCUGACGGUACCCAAAGAAUAAGCACCGGCUAACUUCGUGC